rfam:Schistosoma margrebowiei strain Zambia genome assembly, scaffold: SMRZ_scaffold0000041
AUACAAUUGAUGAGUCCCAAAUAGGACGAAACGCGCGUCAUAGAU